rnacentral:rRNA from 1 species
GAUGAACGCUGGCGGCGUGCCUAAUACAUGCAAGUCGAGCGAACGGACGAGAAGCUUGCUUCUCUGAUGUUAGCGGCGGACGGGUGAGUAACACGUGGAUAACCUACCUAUAAGACUGGGAUAACUUCGGGAAACCGGAGCUAAUACCGGAUGAUAUUUUGAACCGCAUGGUUCAAAAGUGAAAGACGGUCUUGCUGUCACUUAUAGAUGGAUCCGCGCUGCAUUAGCUAGUUGGUAAGGUAACGGCUUACCAAGGCAACGAUGCAUAGCCGACCUGAGAGGGUGAUCGGCCAAACUGGAACUGAGACAAGGUCCAGACUCCUACGGGAGGCAGCAGUAGGGAAUCUUCCGCAAUGGGCGAAAGCCUGACGGAGCAACGCCGCGUGAGUGAUGAAGGUCUUCGGAUCGUAAAACUCUGUUAUUAGGGAAGAACAUAUGUGUAAGUAACUGUGCACAUCUUGACGGUACCUAAUCAGAAAGCCACGGCUAACUACGUG